GACGAACGCUGGCGGCGUGCUUAACACAUGCAAGUCGAACGGAAAGGCCCUGCUUUUGUGGGGUGCUCGAGUGGCGAACGGGUGAGUAGCACGUGAGUAACCUGCCCUUGACUUUGGUAUAACUUCAGGAAACUGGGGCUACUACCGGAUAGGAGCUCCUGCUGCAUGGUGGGGGUUGGAAAGUUUCAGCGGUUGGGGAUGGACUCGCGGCUUAUCAGCUUGUUGGUGGGGUAGUGGCUUACCAAGGCUUUGACGGGUAGCCGGCCUGAGAGGGUGACCGGCGACAUGGGGACUGAGAUAGGGCCCAGACUCGUACGGGAGGCAGCAGUGGGGAAUAUGGCACAGUGGGCGGAAGUCGGAUGAAGCAACGCCGCGGGCGGGAUGACGGCCUGCGGGUUGUAAAACGCAUUAGCCUGUGACGAAGCGGGAGUGACGGUAAUGGGUAAAGAAGCACCGGCUAACUACGUG
rnacentral:rRNA from 1 species